CCCCUAGCUUUUUGAAACCCCCUUGGAGCAAUAACCCUUAAACUCAAUCCCAUGCUUUCCAUUGCAGUAUUGAACCUUGUAGUACAAUUUCAGAGAGAUCCAUACACUUAAACACAAGUUAUUGUCAUGAUUGUUUGGAAACUAGAAACAUGCUUCUUUUUGGCCCCUAAUUCCUACAUAUUUUGAGCAAUUCACCCAAAACUUAAUCCCAGCCUCCCCUUUGUUAUAUGGUACAUUGUGGUACAAUUUCAGAGAGAUAUCCAUACAAUUACACAUAAGUUAUUGUCUUGAAACUAGAAAAAAUGCUUGUUUUGACCCCUUUUUGGCCCUUAAUUCCUAAACUUUGGCCCCAUAACCCCUAAAAUGAAUCCAAACCUUCUACUUGUGGUUUUAAACAUUGCGGUAUGAUUUCAGAGCAAUUGAAAUACUUCUACACAAGUUAUUAUCCUGAAACUAAAAAAAUGCUUCUUUUGGGCCACUUUUGGCCCCCUAAUUCCUAAUCGGUUGGGACCAUCAUCCCCAAAAUCAAUCCCAACCUUCCUUUUGUGGUAUUGAAACUUCUGAAACAAUUUCAAGAAGAUCUUUUCACUUAAACUAAAGUUAUUAUCCGGAAACCAAUGUGUCUUCGGACGACGACGACGCAGAUGACGCAGACGACGACAUCAUACCAUUAUACGAUCCCAAAAUUUUUUUGGGGUCGUAUA
rnacentral:lncRNA from 1 species